CAGAUGAAACGUCUGUAUCACGCUCUUCCCCAGGACUCAGGAAUCUUCUAAAAGAGCGGGUAGAAAGAUUAUAAGAGGCAAGGCAAUGGAUGGGUGACUGGAGCAAAAGAGUGUCAUCUGAACUACCAGAAUCAUAAAUUCACAGUAUCUGUGGUUGCCUGAAUGAGAUAGGCACAAGAUUAAGCCAGUCAGCAUGCCAGCAUGGAUAGGGGGAGGGGCUUAACAAGCCCCGCCCCUGACUGAGGCAAUGACAGUUGAUGGCUUCUGGAGGAAAGAGAAUACCUUUUCUUAAAGGUGUGAUCCCUGGUAUCUGUCUUAGUCGGCAUUGCUGUGAAGAGAAACCACAGUCGUGGCAACUCCUAUAAAGGAAAGCAUUCAGUUGGAGCUGGCUUACAGUUUCAGAAGUUGAGUCCAUUGCCGUGGCAGGAAGCAUGGCGGCACACAGGCAGACAUGGUGCUGGAGAAGGAGCCGGGAGUUCUACAUCUGCAUCUGCAGGCAGCAGGAAGAGAGGCCAGAACUGACUUGACCUUGUGAAACUCCAAAGCCCAAUCCCAGUGACUCACUUCCUCCAAUAAGGCCACACCUUCUAGUCCUUCUCAAGUGGUGCCACUCCCUGAUGAUCAACCAUUGACAUCUAUGAGCCUAUGGGAGCCACUCCUAUCCAAACCACCACACCAUCCCAUUCAUUUUGUUGAUAAUAAGCAAUAUUAAACUUACCUCAAAUGUU